AGCAGCGUAGCUCAGUGGAAAGAGCACGGGCUUGGGAGUCAGAGGUCAUGGGUUCAAAUCCUGGCUCUGCCA
rnacentral:tRNA from 1 species